AUGACGCGUGCCAGCCAUCCCCCGGCUCCCGUGGAGUGUAAGGCCGACGCCCCCACGCCCGUAGACCGAACCCUAGGGAUAUUUCCCUCUCCCCUUUCCUCGUUCCGCGGGGUCUCCAUCGCCGGAUCGGGCACCUCCCUCCGCUUCGGCCGUCGCCGUCUCGCCAUCACCAUCGCCUCUCCGGUCCACCCCAACCCUUCCCGAGCGCGCCAAUGGUCUCGCGACCCCCGAGACCGCUGCCGGUACCCUGUUGUCGACUACGGUGUUGACGACCCUUCUUGCCAGAGCAACCAGACGUUAGAGCCUAGGAGCCAGACGCCACCGUCGACGACGACUACUACUACUCGGGAGGUGCGUACUACUACGUGUAGCCCGUUGACAACGACCAGGAGUAGUUAG
rnacentral:rRNA from 1 species